rnacentral:rRNA from 1 species
GAUGAGCUCGCGUCUGAUUAGCUAGUUGGUGAGGUAAUGGCUCACCAAGGCUUCGAUCAGUAGCUGGUCUGAGAGGAUGAUCAGCCACACUGGGACUGAGACACGGCCCAGACUCCUACGGGAGGCAGCAGUGGGGAAUUUUCCGCAAUGGGCGAAAGCCUGACGGAGCAACGCCGCGUGAGGGACGAAGGCCUCUGGGCUGUAAACCUCUUUUCUCAAGGAAGAAGAUAUGACGGUACUUGAGGAAUAAGCCACGGCUAAUUCCGUGCCAGCAGCCGCGGUAAUACGGGAGUGGCAAGCGUUAUCCGGAAUUAUUGGGCGUAAAGCGUCCGCAGGCGGCUUUUCAAGUCUGCUGUUAAAGCGUGGAGCUUAACUCCAUCAUGGCAGUGGAAACUGAAAGGCUUGAGUAUGGUAGGGGCAGAGGGAAUUCCCGGUGUAGCGGUGAAAUGCGUAGAUAUCGGGAAGAACACCAGUGGCGAAGGCGCUCUGCUGGGCCAUUACUGACGCUCAUGGACGAAAGCCAGGGGAGCGAAAGGGAUUAGAUACCCCUGUAGUCCUGGCCGUAAACGAUGAACACUAGGUGUCGGGGGAAUCGACCCCUUCGGUGUCGUAGCUAACGCGUUAAGUGUUCCGCCUGGGGAGUACGCACGCAAGUGUGAAACUCAAAGGAAUUGACGGGGGCCCGCACAAGCGGUGGAGUAUGUGGUUUAAUUCGAUGCAACGCGAAGAACCUUACCAGGGUUUGACAUCCUGCGAACCUCUUAGAAAUUUGAGGGUGCCUUCGGGAAUGCAGUGACAGGUGGUGCAUGGCUGUCGUCAGCUCGUGUCGUGAGAUGUUGGGUUAAGUCCCGCAACGAGCGCAACCCACGUUUUUAGUUGCCAGCAUUUAGUUGGGCACUCUAGAAAGACCGCCGGUGAUAAACCGGAGGAAGGUGUGGAUGACGUCAAGUCAUCAUGCCCCUUACACCCUGGGCUACACACGUACUACAAUGCUACGGACAAAGGGCAGCAAACUCGCGAGAGCUAGCAAAUCCCAUAAACCGUGGCUCAGUUCAGAUCGUAGGCUGCAACUCGCCUACGUGAAGUAGGAAUCGCUAGUAAUCGCAGGUCAGCAUACUGCGGUGAAUACGUUCCCGGGCCUUGUACACACCGCCCGUCACACCAUGGAAGUUGGCCAUGCCCGAAGUCGUUACUCCAACCCUUGUGGAGGAGGACGCCGAAGGUGGGGCUAAUGACUGGGGUGAAGUCGUAACAAGGUAGCCGUA